rnacentral:rRNA from 1 species
UACGGAGGGUGCAACCGUUGCUCGGAAUCAUUGGGCGUAAAGCGCACGUAGGCGGUCUGUUAAGUCGGAUGUGAAAGCCCCGGGCUCAACCCGGGAAGUGCAUACGAAACUGGCGGACUUGAAUAUGGAAGAGGGUCGCGGAAUUCCCGGUGUAGAGGUGAAAUUCGUAGAUAUCGGGAGGAACACCAGUGGCGAAGGCGGCGACCUGGGCCAAUAUUGACGCUAAUGUGCGAAAGCGUGGGGAGCAAACAGG